AUUGAUAAAAUGCUAAGAAAAGUCAAAACAUAAAUAUAAAACAUUAUUUUAUUACAGGCUUCACCUUAUAGUUUGACUGAGUCUAAUACUAACGUACCUGGGCCUUCGCAUCACAAUACCGGCAAAGUAAGUUGAUUUUUUUUUAUGAUAGGUCCGUGGAUUAAAUUUAAUUUAACUGCGAUUGUUGUACCCGAUAUUUUCAAUUUUAGAGUUUAUCAUCAAGAACAGAAGUGCAUUCUGAAGUAAAUACAAUAAUUGAAGACCAGACUCUUGUGCCGUGCGGUCUACUAGAUGAUAGUAACAUUCUUAGGCCUUCCCAUGUUUAUGAAAGUCCCAGUUCAACAAUGAAUACCAAAGUAAUAGUAGACCCAGAAAUUGGUGAGCUCACUCCACG